AGCUUUGUGCAGUGGCAGUAUCAUAGCCAAUGAGGUUUAGCUGAGGUGUGAUUAUUGCUAAUUAAAAUGACUAUGCUAUAAGUAUAC
rnacentral:snRNA from 13 species